AAAGAAACCAACCGGGAUUGCCUCAGUAACGGCGAGUGAAGCGGCAAGAGCUCAAAUUUGAAAGCUGGCCCCUCCGGGGUCCGCGUUGUAAUUUGCAGAGGAUGCUUUGGGUGCGGCCCCCGUCUAAGUGCCCUGGAACGGGCCGUCAGAGAGGGUGAGAAUCCCGUCUUGGGCGGGGUGUCCGUGCCCGUGUAAAGCUCCUUCGACGAGUCGAGUUGUUUGGGAAUGCAGCUCUAAAUGGGUGGUAAAUUUCAUCUAAAGCUAAAUACUGGCCGGAGACCGAUAGCGCACAAGUAGAGUGAUCGAAAGAUGAAAAGCACUUUGAAAAGAGAGUUAAACAGCACGUGAAAUUGUUGAAAGGGAAGCGCUUGCGACCAGACUCGCCCUCGGGGUUCAGCCGGCACUCGUGCCGGUGUACUUCCCCGGGGGCGGGCCAGCGUCAGCUUGGGCGGCCGGUCAAAGGCCUCCGGAAUGUAGUGCCCCCCGGGGCACCUUAUAGCCGGAGGUGCAAUGCGGCCAGCCUGGGCUGAGGAACGCGCUCGGCAC
rnacentral:rRNA from 1 species